AGGAUUAACGCUGGCGGCGUGCCUAACACAUGCAAGUCGAACGAGGGGGGCAACCCCCGAGUGGCAGACGGGUGAGUAACGCGUGGUCAACCUACCCUAGAGUGGGGAAUAACUAGCCGAAAGGUUAGCUAAUACCGCAUGAUACGUUUUGGGACAUCCCAGGACGUUGAAAGGAGCAAUCCGCUCGAGGACGGGACCGCGUCCGAUUAGCUAGUUGGUGAGGUAACGGCCCACCACGGCUCCGAUCGGUAGCUGGUUUGAGAGAGCGACCAGCCACACUGGGACUGAGAAACGGCCCAGACUCCUACGGGAGGCAGCAGUGAGGAAUUUCCGCAAUGGGCGAAAGCCUGACGGAGCGACGCCGCGUGUGGGAAGAAGGCCUUCGGGUCGUAAACCACUGUCGAAGGGGACUAUACUGAAGGUACCCUUGGAGGAAGCCCGGCUAACUACGUGCCAGCAGCCGC
rnacentral:rRNA from 1 species